UCAGUAACACGUGGAUAAUCUGCCCUUAGGUGGAGGAUACCCUCGGGAAACUGAGAAUAAUACUCCAUAGGUCUAGGAUGCUGGAAUGCACUUAGACUGAAAACUCCGGUGCCUAAGGAUGAGUCUGCGGACUAUCAGGUAGUAGUCAGGGUAAAGACCUGACUAGCCUACGACGGAUACGGGUUGUGAGAGCAAUAACCCGGAGAUGAUAUCUGAGACACGAUAUCAGGCCCUACGGGGCGCAGCAGGCGCGAAAACUUCACAAUGCGCGAAAGCGCGAUGAGGGAAUCCCAAGUGCUUGCACGUAAGUGUAAGCUGUUUCUAUGUUUAAAACGCAUAGAGAGUAAGGGCUGGGUAAGACGGGUGCCAGCCGCCGCGGUAAUACCUACAGCUCGAGUGGUGGCCGCUAUUAUUGGGCCUAAAACGUCCGUAGCCGGUUUAAUAAAUGCCUGGGUAAAUCGUAUAGCUUAACUAUACGAAUUCCGGGUAGACUGCUAAACUUGAGACCGGGGGAAGUUAGAGGUACUCCUGGGGUAGAGGUGAAAUUCUGUAAUCCUAGGGGGACCACCGGUGGCGAAGGCGUCUGACUAAAACGGGUCUGACGGUGAGGGACGAAGCCCUGGGGCGCAAACGGGAUUAGAUACCCCGGUAGUCCAGGGUGUAAACGCUGCUUGCUUGAUGUUAGUCGGGCUUCGAGCCCGAUUAGUGUCGGAGAGAAGUUGUUAAGCAAGCUGCCUGGGAGUACGGCCGCAGACUGAAACUUA
rnacentral:rRNA from 1 species